rnacentral:rRNA from 1 species
CCCUUAGAUGUUCUGGGCCGCACGCGUGCUACACUGAUGCAUUCAACGAGUCUAAAACCUGGUCUGAUAGGGCUGGGUAAUCUUUUGAAAGUGCAUCGUGAUUGGGAUAGAUGAUUGCAAUUCUUCAUCUUCAACGAGGAAUGCCUAGUAAACGCAAGUCAUCAGCUUGCAUUGAUUACGUCCCUGCCCUUUGUACACACCGCCCGUCGCUGCCCGGAACUGAGCCGUUUCGAGAAAGCCGGGGACUGACGGCUUGUGGGUGCGCAAGCGCUUCUUGCCGAUGGAAACCAGUUUAAUCGGUAUGGCUUGAACCGGGCAAAAGUCGUAACA